CCUACGUGAGACAGCAGUGAGGAAUAUUGGUCAAUGGACGCACGUCUGAACCAGCCAUGCCGCGUGCAGGAAGCCGGCUCUAUGAGUUGUAAACUGCUUUUGUACGAGGGUAAACGCAGAUACGCGUAUCUGUCUGAAAGUAUCGUACGAAUAAGGAUCGGCUAACUCCGUGCCAGCAGCCUCGGUAAUACGGAGGAUUCAAGCGUUAUCCGGAUUUAUUGGGUUUAAAGGGGGCGUAGGCGGUCGGAUAAGUUAGAGGUGAAAUCCCGAGGCUCAACUUCGGAAUUGCCUCGGAUACUGUUCGGCUAGAGAGUAGUUGCGGUAGGCGGAAUGUAUGGUGUAGCGGUGAAAUGCUUAGAGAUCAUACAGAACACCGAUUGCGAAGGCAGCUUACCAAGCUACUUCUGACGUUGAGGCACGAAAGCGUGGGGAGCAAACAGGAUUAGAUACCCGUGUAGUC
rnacentral:rRNA from 1 species